GCCUACGGCCAUACCACCCUGAGAACGCCCGAUCUCGUCUGAUCUCGGAAGCUAAGCAGGGUCGGGCCUGAUUAGUACUCGGAUGGGAGACCGCCUGGGAAUACCAGUUGCUGUAAACU
rnacentral:rRNA from 1 species